AGCCAUGAUAAGAAUAGAAAGAGAAAACGAAGAGAUAGACAGAAAAAAGGAAAUAGAUAAAAUAAAACAACAAACCACAAAAGAAAUACGAAAAAUAGAAAAAACUAAAAAUAGUAGGAUUGCUGAAUUAGAAAAAGAACUACAAAUGCUAAAAGAUUUAUAUGAAAAGAGACAGAAAGAAAAAGUAGAAAAAGAUAAAUAAAAAAAUUAUUAAACAAGAUAAAUCAAUUUAAAGAAAAAUUAGAAAUAAAAAAUAAAGAACCAGAAACCAGUGAAUUAGAAAUAAAUACAAUAGAUGCUGAAGAAACGGAUA
rnacentral:lncRNA from 1 species